UCUUUCUGCAAUAGUUAAAUAAGGCAAAUGGAAGCUUUGUUAUUUUAUCUAUGAAUUGUUUUCGUCUAAAUCACAAUUGCCCAAGUCGUAGCUUACAUUUCUUAGUGACAAGAAUCGUGCUUGAUGGAAAAGGAGCAUUGUUGUUACCUUUGAUUUGUCUAUGGCAGAGAUUGGAUUGAGAAGAGGCUUCUACAGAAUGUAAGAUUAUUGGAAGGUUGGGAAUUUUCAUAUUCAAGUUUCGGAUGAAGCAUUGUAUGAGUAUAAAGCCUCUCUGUGGUUCAAUGAGAAGAAACUCAAAGUCAAAUUUUAGUAGUACUGGUGUAUUACAGCAGACCAUCUAAGAUCUGCAUUUAGGAUAUUUUAUCUUGGUACUUCUCUGCUGUAAUGGAACUCUGAGAUUUUCAGAGGUUAAUAGACUUGUUCAAUAUGCGCUACCUUAUAAAUGCAUGUUUAUUAGUGCUCUCUCCUUGAUUUGCUUGUAAAAGAGGUGGUAUGUAACAUUUGCUUCAGAAGGUGAGCAUAAUGGAAAACACUGCAAGCUAUGUUGCAUUUACUUAAGGACCAUUGUUUCCAUUACCAGAUGGAUUUUAUUGGAUGAGCAAGAACUUCCAGUUACAAAGCGUUUUUCUUUUCAAUUUAUUUUCAAGGUUCUACCCUUGAUAAUUUGGAGAUUCUGGGAACAAGUUGGCUAAGGGCAUCUAUGAAGCUUUCGCCAAGUUUUCUAUGACAUUCUCUGAUGAUUAAGCAAUUGUGGAUUGACCUUCUUUUACAAAUUUUAGACAUGAGAUGAGUUGGCUUUGUUUUAUAUAUUCAAUAAGAAGUUAGAAGAUGGGAUGUCCUAAAUUUGGAUCCUUGGGACAACAUUUUUUUUUAAGAAGGAACUUGCGUCUUGCUCAUUUGAAUUAAUAUGAUAAAAGGCUUUGUUCUUCUGGACUUUAUUCUAUGGCCAAAAGUGUUUGAAAAAGGCAAACUUACCAAGCUAAUGGUAGUGAUCAGCCUUUUCAAGAUCACAUAUGUUGGGCCUCCAUGUGAUUUGGCAGGGUACCAACUCUUCUGUUCUUGGUGGCACUGGUUUGUUUAGGUGAUUUUACUGUACUGUGCAGUUGUUUCACGUCUUUCUUCAGUACUCAUCACGGAUCUGUGCUGUAUGGUGCUCUUUCCUCGGAAUCAUUUACGUCAGUGCUAAAGAAAGUAUACCAGAUUCUACUUGAAAUGAAGUUUAAAUCCAUCAAAAUUGUUUGCAUCAGUGACAUGUAACCGAGUUUCUGAUGGACCUAUAGUUUCGGUUCACCUGAUGAUAGGCGUGGACAUAGAACAUGGUUUUUGGUUUACUUACUGUUGGUGCUGGGCAAUUGUGAUUGAUAUUAUUCUCCUGUUUAAAAGCUCUGAAUGCCUGAAAUCUUGUCCCUAAAAACAUCGCUCUAUGGAGUGCUAUAUGGGACUAGUAGAGGUUUUCCAAAGGUUACCUGAAUUGCAGAGGAACAUUUUCACAUAAGUCGAACUUCAUCAUGACCCUUUGGUUUGUGUUGAUACUUCAUUGCCUAGGAUUGUUGAAAGAAUUGGGACAAAACUCUCUAAGUAGUUAUAAUACAUCUAUAAUUUAUUGGCCUGGGGGAUACGACAAUACACUGUUGUACAGUACUGGCUUUUUAUGGCUUGCUUGACUAAGCUUUUAAGUAGUGUGCCCCUAGGAAUGCAUGGUUAAAAAUUAGUUAAAAGUUGUGGGUAGUGCGGUUUGUGGAUAGGAAUAGAGUUCGACAAGCUUGCAAGCAAUAGUAAGCUUUCCAAAUAUGCCCUUAAUAUGGAUCUCCAGAUAGGAUGUUUGUGGCCGUGUUCAUGAGGCUAAUAUCCGUAUUUUACCUCAUACUGAAGGUUAGUUUUAGUAUAAUUAGUUCCCUCAUGAUUAAUUCUUUGGAAUAUUUGAUAUGCAUGGGUGGUCAUUCACGUGACAUGUUGUGCAUGCUUGUCUUCACUGCAGGCUCUUAUGGUGGUAGUGAUGUUAGUGGGAUGUACUCAUCAAGUUAUGGUAGUGAUUACAUGUCCCGUGGAAGUGAUGUAUGUUUUAUUAUGAUCUUACUUUUCUUCAGAGUCAUUACUGUUUUCAUGUUCUUUCUAAUGCAUGCUUGUUUCUGGAACUUUAGGUUGGUGGUAGCUCUUACUCAUCACUCUACUCUGGACGGAGCAUGGGUGGUAGUAGUUAUAUGGGUAGUGGUGGUUCCGGGUCAUACUAUUGAGGUAUGCCCUUACGUUGUUUCAUAUAGUCUUUCUGCAAUAGUUAAAUAAGGCAAAUGGAAGCUUUGUUAUUUUAUCUAUGAAUUGUUUUCGUCUAAAUCACAAUUGCCCAAGUCGUAGCUUACAUUUCUUAGUGACAAGAAUCGUGCUUGAUGGAAAAGGAGCAUUGUUGUUACCUUUGAUUUGUCUAUGGCAGAGAUUGGAUUGAGAAGAGGCUUCUACAGAAUGUAAGAUUAUUGGAAGGUUGGGAAUUUUCAUAUUCAAGUUUCGGAUGAAGCAUUGUAUGAGUAUAAAGCCUCUCUGUGGUUCAAUGAGAAGAAACUCA
rnacentral:lncRNA from 1 species